GGAGAGCAGAAUAGGCAGAAAUCUAGAUGGUAUAGUUUGAGGGGUGCCGAGAAGGUCCUGCGGCCCCAAGUUUGUCAUGGAGUCCUUCCUUUGAAUCUCAUGCCUCCUCCUUUUUAGGUAUAAUCACUUACAACACAUUUUACUCUGAAUUAGUAUAUCCAUUUAUUCAACCAAGCAUUUAAAAAAAAGUUUCUUCUAAGCAAAAGGCAUCGUGUCUACAAGUUAGCUUUCCUCCAUGCUGAGAGCGAGAUACUGAAGGACUAGGAGACUUGAUUGGGGCUUGUGAUGAGUGAAAAGCAUAAUUCUGAACACGGGGCACUGACCAAGGAAGGGAGCCUUUAAUACAGCGUCACAGUAAGGAGAUUCUCAGGAGCCCGUGUCUGAAGAAGGAGAAAAGAACCCAAGGAAAUGGGAGGUAGGGAGAUACCAAAGUUCCUGCUGCCCUUCAGUUACAUUUUCCCCACCUAACUGUUUUCACCAGGUCAGCUUUGAUCCCAGGAUCUCGCUUCCUUCACGGUCUCUGGGAGAGAAAGCCAAGGGUAAACCUGAAGCUGCUGAGAUCAGAAAUUCAAGAAUAGGGGAGGCAGGUGGGAUUAGAAUGCAGAGAAAGCCGAGGUUUCCAUCUUUUGGAGGAGGAAAUUGAGGCCUAAGGAGGUAUAAUGACUUUCCUUGAGAGUGACAAAUUCAGGACUGGACCUUUGGAUCUUUAUAUGAGAAUUGACCCAAAGUUGAGUGCUGGCCAAGAAAGAAGGUAUAAGGUAUUGAAUCUACCUGAUUUUGAAUUUAUGAAGCUGAUUAACCACAAUGUGAUUAUGGUUUUGCUCUGAUUCUUCAUCAAGAGGGAAGUCAGCACCAAAGAGGCACUCUUGGAUUUCAGAAAUUAUAGACUCCCAAGUAAGAGUGAGGAAAGGCAUUUGGCCACUCUGCCCAACUUUAUGACUUUCUGGAUGGCUUCCUACAAAAUGAAGUGGAUAAGGCUUGUUUGUCCUUCUGAUCUUAGGCCAAGAUUUCUCCUCUUUUAAGAACAAUGUGAUGCAGUGGCAUGGUUCUUGGACUUGGAGUCCAGGUAUUUGGAAUAAAUUAUUCACUUCACCACCUAUUACCUGUGUG
rnacentral:lncRNA from 1 species